rnacentral:rRNA from 1 species
AUUGAACGCUGGCGGCAUGCCUUACACAUGCAAGUCGAACGGCAGCACGGGAGCAAUCCUGGUGGCGAGUGGCGAACGGGUGAGUAAUAUAUCGGAACGUGCCCAGUCGUGGGGGAUAACGCAGCGAAAGCUGUGCUAAUACCGCAUACGAUCUACGGAUGAAAGCGGGGGAUCGCAAGACCUCGCGCGAUUGGAGCGGCCGAUAUCAGAUUAGCUAGUUGGUGAGGUAAAGGCUCACCAAGGCGACGAUCUGUAGCUGGUCUGAGAGGACGACCAGCCACACUGGAACUGAGACACGGUCCAGACUCCUACGGGAGGCAGCAGUGGGGAAUUUUGGACAAUGGGCGAAAGCCUGAUCCAGCAAUGCCGCGUGCAGGAUGAAGGCCUUCGGGUUGUAAACUGCUUUUGUACGGAACGAAACGGUGAGCUCUAAUACAGUUUGCUAAUGACGGUACCGUAAGAAUAAGCACCGGCUAACUACGUGCCAGCCGCCGCGGUAA